rnacentral:rRNA from 1 species
AGACCCGAAACCCGGUGAUCUAGCCAUGGGCAGGUUGAAGGUUGGGUAACACUAACUGGAGGACCGAACCGACUAAUGUUGAAAAAUUAGCGGAUGACCUGUGGCUGGGGGUGAAAGGCCAAUCAAACCGGGAGAUAGCUGGUUCUCCCCGAAAGCUAUUUAGGUAGCGCCUCGUGAAUUCAUCUCCGGGGGUAGAGCACUGUUUCGGCUAGGGGGCCAUCCCGGCUUACCAACCCGAUGCAAACUGCGAAUACCGGAGAAUGUUAUCACGGGAGACACACGGCGGGUGCUAACGUCCGUCGUGAAGAGGGAAACAACCCAGACCGCCAGCUAAGGUCCCAAAGUCAUGGUUAAGUGGGAAACGAUGUGGGAAGGCCCAGACAGCCAGGAUGUUGGCUUAGAAGCAGCCAUCAUUUAAAGAAAGCGUAAUAGCUCACUGGUCGAGUCGGCCUGCGCGGAAGAUGUAACGGGGCUAAACCAUGCACCGAAGCUGCGGCAGCGAACGUAUCACUUAAAGCGAUUCAGCGGGUUACGAUUGACGGAGCGAAGCGACGUCAAAGCGUAUACAAAGUCGAGUCGGUUUAAGGAUACGUUCGUUGGGUAGGGGAGCGUUCUGUAAGCCUGUGAAGGUGGCCUGUGAGGGUUGCUGGAGGUAUCAGAAGUGCGAAUGCUGACAUAAGUAACGAUAAAGCGGGUGAAAAGCCCGCUCGCCGGAAGACCAAGGGUUCCUGUCCAACGUUAAUCGGGGCAGGGUGAGUCGACCCCUAAGGCGAGGCCGAAAGGCGUAGUCGAUGGGAAACGGGUUAAUAUUCCCGUACUUGGUGUUACUGCGAAGGGGGGACGGAGAAGGCUAUGUUGGCCGGGCGACGGUUGUCCCGGUUUAAGCGUGUAGGUGUGUGUUCCAGGUAAAUCCGGUUCACUUUAACACUGAGGCGUGAUGACGAGGCACUACGGUGCUGAAGCAACAAAUGCCCUGCUUCCAGGAAAAGCCUCUAAGCAUCAGGUAACAUCAAAUCGUACCCCAAACCGACACAGGUGGUCAGGUAGAGAAUACCAAGGCGCUUGAGAGAACUCGGGUGAAGGAACUAGGCAAAAUGGUGCCGUAACUUCGGGAGAAGGCACGCUGACACGUAGGUGAAGUGAUUUACUCACGGAGCUGAAGUCAGUCGAAGAUACCAGCUGGCUGCAACUGUUUAUUAAAAACACAGCACUGUGCAAACACGAAAGUGGACGUAUACGGUGUGACGCCUGCCCGGUGCCGGAAGGUUAAUUGAUGGGGUCAGCGCAAGCGAAGCUCCUGAUCGAAGCCCCGGUAAACGGCGGCCGUAACUAUAACGGUCCUAAGGUAGCGAAAUUCCUUGUCGGGUAAGUUCCGACCUGCACGAAUGGCGUAAUGAUGGCCAGGCUGUCUCCACCCGAGACUCAGUGAAAUUGAACUCGCUGUGAAGAUGCAGUGUACCCGCGGCAAGACGGAAAGACCCCGUGAACCUUUACUAUAGCUUGACACUGAACAUUGAGCCUUGAUGUGUAGGAUAGGUGGGAGGCUUUGAAGUGUGGACGCCAGUCUGCAUGGAGCCGACCUUGAAAUACCACCCUUUAAUGUUUGAUGUUCUAACGUGGACCCGUAAUCCGGGUUGCGGACAGUGUCUGGUGGGUAGUUUGACUGGGGCGGUCUCCUCCUAAAGAGUAACGGAGGAGCACGAAGGUUGGCUAAUCCUGGUCGGACAUCAGGAGGUUAGUGCAAUGGCAUAAGCCAGCUUGACUGCGAGCGUGACGGCGCGAGCAGGUGCGAAAGCAGGUCAUAGUGAUCCGGUGGUUCUGAAUGGAAGGGCCAUCGCUCAACGGAUAAAAGGUACUCCGGGGAUAACAGGCUGAUACCGCCCAAGAGUUCAUAUCGACGGCGGUGUUUGGCACCUCGAUGUCGGCUCAUCACAUCCUGGGGCUGAAGUAGGUCCCAAGGGUAUGGCUGUUCGCCAUUUAAAGUGGUACGCGAGCUGGGUUUAGAACGUCGUGAGACAGUUCGGUCCCUAUCUGCCGUGGGCGCUGGAGAACUGAGGGGGGCUGCUCCUAGUACGAGAGGACCGGAGUGGACGCAUCACUGGUGUUCGGGUUGUCAUGCCAAUGGCACUGCCCGGUAGCUAAAUGCGG